CACGUGCUGCCAGCAGCGCUGGAGCUGCCCGAGCCGCUGUUCUCAGCUGCAGCCAGGAUCUGCCCCCGGCCCCGCUGGGAUCCAGGGGCUGGUGACCUUCAAGGAGAUGGCUAUGUAUUUCACCAGGGAAGAGUGGGCUCUGCUGGACCCCACUCAGAGAGCCCUCUACUGGGAUGUCAUGCAGGAGAACUAUGAGACUGUGACCUCGCUGGGUAAGGGUUCCUGUCCCUUCUGUUCUUGGAAGGGGAAAUGAAGAGUGAAGGUUCAUGCCACCCCCACAAUGCCAUCUGUACCCUGUCCUGUUUCAGCAUCACCCCAAUAGGCCAGUAACAUACAUACUA